AACUUUCAACAACGGAUCUCUUGGUUCUGGCAUCGAUGAAGAACGCAGCGAAAUGCGAUAAGUAAUGUGAAUUGCAGAAUUCAGUGAAUCAUCGAAUCUUUGAACGCACAUUGCGCCCCCCAGUAUUCUGGAGGGCAUGCCUGUUCGAGCGUCAUUUCAACCAUCAAGCCCCGG
rnacentral:rRNA from 1 species